UACCAGCACCCCGAGUGGUCGGGACGAUUAUUGGGCCUAAAGCAUCCGUAGCCGGUUCUACAAGUCUUCCGUUAAAUCCACCUGCUCAACGGAUGGGCUGCGGAGGAUACCGCAGAGCUAGGAGGCGGGAGAGGCAAACGGUACUCAGUGGGUAGGGGUAAAAUCCAUUGAUCUACUGAAGACCACCAGUGGCGAAGGCGGUUUGCCAGAACGCGCUCGACGGUGAGGGAUGAAAGCUGGGGGAGCAAACCGG
rnacentral:rRNA from 1 species